rnacentral:rRNA from 1 species
AUAGCGUAUAUUAAAGUUGUUGCGGUUAAAAAGCUCGUAGUUGAAUCUGUGUCCCACGCUGUCGGUUCACCGCUCGCGGUGUUUAACUGGCAUGAUUGUGGGACGUCCUACCGGUGGGCUUAGCUCUUCACGGGGCGGCCCAACUAAUAUCCCAUCGCGGUGCUCUUCAUUGAGUGUCGAGGUGGGCCGGUACGUUUACUUUGAACAAAUUAGAGUGCUUAAAGCAGGCUACCUUCGCCUGAAUACUGCGUGCAUGGAAUAAUGGAAUAGGACCUCGGUUCUAUUUUGUUGGUUUUCGGAACCCCGAGGUAAUGAUUAAUAGGGACAGAUGGGGGCAUUCGUAUUGCGACGUUAGAGGUGAAAUUCUUGGAUCGUCGCAAGACGGACAGAAGCGAAAGCAUUUGCCAAAAAUGUUUUCAUUAAUCAAGAACGAAAGUUAGAGGUUCGAAGGCGAUCAGAUACCGCCCUAGUUCUAACCAUAAACGAUGCCAGCUAGCGAUCCGCCGAAGUUCCUCCGAUGACUCGGCGGGCAGCUUCCGGGAAACCAAAGCUUUUGGGUUCCGGGGGAAGUAUGGUUGCAAAGCUGAAACUUAAAGGAAUUGACGGAAGGGCACCACCAGGAGUGGAGCCUGCGGCUUAAUUUGACUCAACACGGGAAACCUCACCAGGCCCGGACACCGGAAGGAUUGACAGAUUGAUAGCUCUUUCUUGAUUCGGUGGGUGGUGGUGCAUGGCCGUUCUUAGUUGGUGGAGCGAUUUGUCUGGUUAAUUCCGAUAACGAACGAGACUCUAGCCUGCUAAAUAGGCGUACUUUCUGGUAUCUCGAAGGCCCCCGGCCUCGGUCGGGUGGUUUUUACUACCGACGUACAAACAAAUCUUCUUAGAGGGAC